rnacentral:tRNA from 1 species
GCCGGGAUGGCGGAACUGGCAGACGCAGGGGACUUAAAAUCCUCCGGGCCUGGCCCGUGCCGGUUCGAAUCCGGCUCCCGGCACCA